UUUCGGGUCGGAGGUGCAAUUGUAAUCUUGUCUGGACUAUAAGAUGUGAAAACUCUUUGAACAUUUGCGACUGUGGUGGUCCAGACGCAAAUACAAAAGGUCAAGCGCCGACCAAUAUACAUUCUAAACGACUAAAUUUUUGGUUAAUUUUUUACGUUUUUGCUUUAUCAAAGCACUUCUGACGUCCUAAAAAUGCGGUCAGGUUUCUUUUUUGUCGCCGUAACAGCAAUUAUUUCUUCCGCGGAUAAGGAUAUUCGUGCGAAUCCUGUCCCACAGUCUCCUAUAGCUUAUGAUACCCGUGCUCUUUCGCCGCAGCAGUUAAUUUCCAUAAUUUCGCUGCUGUAUCCGAACGUGAUGCCAUUAAACGCCCCUCCGUAUUUCCCAGGCCGACAAGACGCUCCACCACCACUUGCCGGUUCCGGUACUCCUACUGCGGCUCUAAAUGCCCAGCAGGUUUUGCAGCUCCUGCCGGUUCGUCCAGGUGGAGAUGAUAGUUGAUGCGGAAACUUCAUUGUUUAGUGCUAACAGCUUUUAUAACGGGAGUAAUGAAAACUGCGUUUUGUUGAGUACAUACAAUGACUGUGAUGAAAAUAUAGUGCUUUCGCUUUUGUUUGCCUGUGACCGUAUUUUUGUGCAAUGUUAUGUUUUCUAGUUCUACUUAUAUCUUCGGUUUUUUAAAUCUUCGCCAAAAUUUUCAAGCGCAGUGGCAAAACAACACAAAUAAAGCCACGAAAGGUCAUCACUCGUUUACCGAAUUAUAAUCUAACAGAUUAUAAAUCGCGCUAACAGAUUGUAAAACGUACACGAUCUGUACACAUCUGCGAGUGGUUGUUACGACUAAAAUAAUAUUGGUACAAUAUUGGCUGUUGGUAAUACCAAACGCGUAAAUGAAAAAAUCACGCUCUGGCAAAAAUAAAAAAAUUUCCAAUUAUGCCAAUUUAGCCUGUUCAUACUAGUAAUGAUUUUUAAACAUUUGUACUUCAUACAAUUACAAAUAAAAUAGACAACGCUGAUUUCAUUACCACAAUGUGUUUUGCAAAUCCAUUUUAUCGGCUGUGGAUAAUGAUCGUAUAUCUUUAACGGUUAAACGGGAUGCUGGGUCGCCUCUUACAAAACCUGCGAAGCCGAACUCCAAUGACACCGGAACAAGCUUACAACACAAUGGUUUGAAGGAUUUGCUGGAGAAGUUUGAUCUGAUGAUUGAGAAUGCUAGAGGAAACGGAACAGGAGCGGUAGGAACGAGAAGUGCAUUGGAUAAGCAAACGAGAUGGUGGGGAAAUGAUAACAGCAACAACAAUAACAACGAUAACACGGAUAAGGAAGACGGAGUUCUGCAUGAGAAUGGAUAUCACUCAUGGCAAGGAUAUUAUUCCAGAAUCGGAAGCCCGGGUACUGAAAAGAAACCACAAAGUCCAUCUUCCGACCCUGAAAAAGGGCCUCAAGACCGACCCCUGUACUGAUAACGUACAACAGUAAUUUGUACUGCGCUGCUUAGGAUUUAUGUUCCUUUAAAUGUUGCAAUAGCUUCGGAAAAGUCUUUGCUGUAAAACCAAAAAGAAAUACAAGCCAUGUCGCAGGAAUUCCGUAAGUCAAUAAGCCGAAACAUC